rnacentral:rRNA from 1 species
UACGUAGGUGGCAAGCGUUGUCCGGAAUUACUGGGUGUAAAGGGAGCGCAGGCGGGAAGCCAAGUCAGCUGUGAAAACUACGGGCUUAACUUGUAGACUGCAGUUGGAACUGGUUUUCUUGAGUGAAGUAGAGGUUGGCGGAAUUCCGAGUGUAGCGGUGAAAUGCGUAGAUAUUCGGAGGAACACCGGUGGCGAAGGCGGCCAACUGGGCUUUAACUGACGCUGAGGCUCGAAAGUGUGGGGAGCAAACAGG